rnacentral:rRNA from 1 species
GAUGAACGCUGACGGCGUGCCUAAUACAUGCAAGUCGAGCGAACGGACGAGAAGCUUGCUUCUCUGAUGUUAGCGGCGGACGGGUGAGUAACACGUGGAUAACCUACCUAUAAGACUGGGAUAACUUCGGGAAACCGGAGCUAAUACCGGAUAAUAUUUUGAACCGCAUGGUUCAAAAGUGAAAGACGGUCUUGCUGUCACUUAUAGAUGGAUCCGCGCUGCAUUAGCUAGUUGGUAAGGUAACGGCUUACCAAGGCAACGAUGCAUAGCCGACCUGAGAGGGUGAUCGGCCACACUGGAACUGAGACACGGUCCAGACUCCUACGGGAGGCAGCAGUAGGGAAUCUUCCGCAAUGGGCGAAAGCCUGACGGAGCAACGCCGCGUGAGUGAUGAAGGUCUUCGGAUCGUAAAACUCUGUUAUUAGGGAAGAACAUAUGUGUAAGUAACUGUGCACAUCUUGACGGUACCUAAUCAGAAAGCCACGGCUAACUACGUGCCAGCAGCCGCGGUAAUACGUAGGUGGCAAGCGUUAUCCGGAAUUAUUGGGCGUAAAGCGCGCGUAGGCGGUUUUUUAAGUCUGAUGUGAAAGCCCACGGCUCAACCGUGGAGGGUCAUUGGAAACUGGAAAACUUGAGUGCAGAAGAGGAAAGUGGAAUUCCAUGUGUAGCGGUGAAAUGCGCAGAGAUAUGGAGGAACACCAGUGGCGAAGGCGACUUUCUGGUCUGUAACUGACGCUGAUGUGCGAAAGCGUGGGGAUCAAACAGGAUUAGAUACCCUGGUAGUCCACGCCGUAAACGAUGAGUGCUAAGUGUUAGGGGGUUUCCGCCCCUUAGUGCUGCAGCUAACGCAUUAAGCACUCCGCCUGGGGAGUACGACCGCAAGGUUGAAACUCAAAGGAAUUGACGGGGACCCGCACAAGCGGUGGAGCAUGUGGUUUAAUUCGAAGCAACGCGAAGAACCUUACCAAAUCUUGACAUCCUUUGACAACUCUAGAGAUAGAGCCUUCCUCUUCGGGGGACAAAGUGACAGGUGGUGCAUGGUUGUCGUCAGCUCGUGUCGUGAGAUGUUGGGUUAAGUCCCGCAACGAGCGCAACCCUUAAGCUUAGUUGCCAUCAUUAAGUUGGGCACUCUAAGUUGACUGCCGGUGACAAACCGGAGGAAGGUGGGGAUGACGUCAAAUCAUCAUGCCCCUUAUGAUUUGGGCUACACACGUGCUACAAUGGACAAUACAAAGGGCAGCGAAACCGCGAGGUCAAGCAAAUCCCAUAAAGUUGUUCUCAGUUCGGAUCGUAGUCUGCAACUCGACUACAUGAAGCUGGAAUCGCUAGUAAUCGUAGAUCAGCAUGCUACGGUGAAUACGUUCCCGGGUCU